UACGUAGGGUGCGAGCGUUGUCCGGAAUUAUUGGGCGUAAAGAGCUCGUAGGCGGUGUGUCGCGUCGGCCGUGAAAACCUGCAGCUUAACUGUGGGCUUGCGGUCGAUACGGGCAGACUAGAGUGUGGUAGGGGAGACUGGAAUUCCUGGUGUAGCGGUGGAAUGCGCAGAUAUCAGGAGGAACACCGAUGGCGAAGGCAGGUCUCUGGGCCAUAACUGACGCUGAGAAGCGAAAGCAUGGGGAGCGAACAGG
rnacentral:rRNA from 1 species